CAGUCUAUCAUCAUUGGUAUGAUACUGCAAAGAUUAUUGCACAAACUUUAAAUUCAAUGCAACAAUGGUGAUGGCAUUAAUUAUUUCCAAACUCAUUCUUCUAACCUCGCCACUGUGGGUUGCACAUCCUUCAUGCACUCUUGCAUCUUUAGUUGUCAUGUCUAUUUGGUUGGUUAGCACAACCUCGUUGCGCACAAAGUCUCCGCCAAAAGCAUCCUGUAAUACAAUUAACACAUCUCUUUUAAUAUUUCUUGCUGAUAUGCAAGUUAACUUGUGUCUUUCCCGUAUUUAAACUACUUCCAUCACAAAUCAUACCAGAUUUGUUGCAAGAACCAUUUUCCCCUUUAUACUCUCUCUGGCUUCAUUUCCA
rnacentral:lncRNA from 1 species